rnacentral:rRNA from 1 species
UACGAAGGGGGCUAGCGUUGCUCGGAAUCACUGGGCGUAAAGGGUGCGUAGGCGGGUCUUUAAGUCAGGGGUGAAAUCCUGGGGCUCAACUCCAGAACUGCCUUUGAUACUGAGGAUCUCGAGUUCGGGAGAGGUGAGUGGAACUGCGAGUGUAGAGGUGAAAUUCGUAGAUAUUCGCAAGAACACCAGUGGCGAAGGCGGCUCACUGGCCCGAUACUGACGCUGAGGCACGAAAGCGUGGGGAGCAAACAGG